GGGCGAAUAGCUCAGUUGGGAGAGCGCCUGCCUUACAAGCAGGAUGUCGGGGGUUCAAGUCCCUCUUCGCCCA
rnacentral:tRNA from 1 species